CCUGCAUGAAGUUGGAAUUGCUAGUAAUCGCGAAUCAGAAUGUCGCGGUGAAUACGUUCCCGGGCCUUGUACACACCGCCCGUCACACCAUGAGAGUCGAUAACACCCGAAGCCUGUGAGCUAACCGCAAGGAGGCAGCAGUCGAAGGUGGGGUUGAUGAUUGGGGUGAAGUCGUAACAAGGUAUC
rnacentral:rRNA from 1 species